rnacentral:rRNA from 1 species
AACGAACGCUGGCGGCAUGCCUAACACAUGCAAGUCGAACGAGACCUUCGGGUCUAGUGGCGCACGGGUGCGUAACGCGUGGGAACCUGCCCUUAGGUUCGGAAUAACUCCCCGAAAGGGGUGCUAAUACCGGAUAAUGUCUUCGGACCAAAGAUUUAUCGCCUUUGGAUGGGCCCGCGUUGGAUUAGCUAGUUGGUAGGGUAAAAGCCUACCAAGGCGACGAUCCAUAGCUGGUCUGAGAGGAUGAUCAGCCACACUGGGACUGAGAGACGGCCCAGACUAGUAGGGGAGGGAGGAGUAGGGACUCAUGCGCGAUGGACGAAAGCGUAGUGGAGCAGAGCGGCGUGAGGGAUGAAGGUCUUCUUAUCCGAAAAUGAUAUUAUUAGGGAAGAAAAAAUGUGCAAGGAACUACGCCCGUCUUGACGGUACCGAAAUAGAAAGCCACGGCUAACUACGUG